rnacentral:lncRNA from 1 species
UGUUUAACUGGAGUUAGAAGCAUGAUAGUAGAAGAUAUCAUGCUGGAUAAAACUAAGUAUUGGGCUGUGAUAUGGUUCCUUCAUAUUCAAGAGAAAAUUGCACAAACAAUCAACAAAGUGAUGUUAGCUAUGUAUGGCAAGGAAUGUUCAUUAUGAGACUGAAACAAUGGAAAUGGGAAUUCAGAUGUGAUCACAUCAGCCUUACAAGAUUACCUAAAAGAAUGCUGUCCAGCAAGGAUGGCCAAUAUUCUACAAAUGCUAUCUGUGUUUUAGGACAGCAAAGGUUCAUAUUGACAAAUUAUUUACAAAAAAAGGUCAACAAUAACUGGGGCAUAUUACAG